CAUGUCUUUCCAAAUUGGAAAGACUAUUUUCAGGCAAAAAAAACCCCAUUUUCCCUCCCCUCCCCCUGUUAAGUGGAUCUCUGGAACACCAUUUUCCCUCCCCUCCCCUCCCCUCCCCCUGUUAAGUAGAUCUCUGGAACACAGCGUAAAGUCUCUUUUAUGUUUUCUUUUUGGAGCAGAUUAAGAGCCUGCAACCCUUCAAUGGAAUCACAGAUGUCCAGAAAGGUGGCCGUAGGCCUUAUUUGGGGCGCUUCUUAACAAAUCCUAAUAGAUUGAUUUUGUUUUUAUAAAACGUCAUUGCUGGAAAGGUUCAAUACAAGAGUGGUGGCGGCUUUAGGGGCGGCUGUGGAGAUGGCAGCGGCAGAGUCGAAAGGUUCGGCGGCAGCAGAGGCGGUGCUGAAGAGGUAGAGGUAGAGGUCGCGAUGGCGGAGGGCAAGGUUUGCCGGCGAAGCGAAUAUGGUUCCUGGUGAAGGAUGUAUAACGAGAAGAGGAUCUUGGUGCAAGUACAAGUUAGUUGAAAUCCAGUAUAAGUUUUAGUAUGCAUUCUCUUCAAUUUUUUGUUCUUGUUGCCGGUUCUUGUCUGGGCUUUCAACAAUCUCCGGUAAAGUUCUUUGCUUUUUUUUCACAGUUAUAAAUCUAUGAAGAUGCUUUGAUGAUCACCAUUUAAUUCAGUCAACACGACAGUCCACAGGAAACUAUACAAGCUCUUGAUGUAGUUCUAAGGGAGUCAGCUUCUAAGGAGUAAGCUAUCUUUUUUUAUUCAGUGUUUUUUCUUUUCAUGUUUUGGUUCUAACCUCCAAACGUAUUGUGAAAUGAAAGGGAUUUAUUGUAAUUUAUAGUGCUAAAAAUAUGAGUUUUACAGAUCACCGAUUGAUCACCGAUUGGGGUAAGCAGUCAUGUAAGUGUUAAUUUGGAUUUUCUAUUAGAACAUGUUUAGGUUAGUGUUCAAGGCUUAUUAUUGUGUUGGAUUGGGGUUAGAUAACCAGAAUCUAUUUGAUUUUUUUUAUUAUAAUAUGUUGGUUCUAUGAUUUAUGUUGGAUUUAUACAAUUUGAUUUGGUUGUAGUGUGCAAAUCGGAGAAAGGAAGUUUAGAAUUGGUCAUCAUUUUCGUUAUUUGAUUAACCACUAUAGGGGUGAGGAAUCAGGAGACGAACCAGAAGACAAAAACGCAGGAAUGGUUCCGCUCUUUGGGAAUUUUGUUUGUGCAAACGGAAUCUAAACAAUGGAAUAACACACCAUUCCACACUCUUAAGAAGGAAUUCACAAGUUCUAAGUUUCAAUUGUUUCUAAAUUUUAAAUUUUGUCGUAUUCUAUAUCCAUACGGGUUUAGAUUAUAAGUAAAUUGUUACUAAAUCGUUUUCGGUUCAAGUAAGAUAAACGCAGGCGUAAUUCAUUUUGAAAAGUUUGGUCAUUUUCAGAAUUAAAAUAAGAUUAUUGUCUGAUUUAGUUUUGUUGUUCGGAUUCAAAGAAAUAUGUGUUUUUCUUUACUAUUUCCAUUGAAAUCCAAAAGCAAAAGGGUUGUUUUGAUUCAAUGGAACAAGAAUGGAAACACCAUCUUGGUGUUGGGUGUCCAAUCAAAAGGAAGACAGAACACAGUGGGUUAAUUAAACAAAAGAAAAUGGUUUUGUUGUCUAUUGUGUUCGAACGGAGCCAAAGCUAAUGCUAUUUGGUUGAGUCAGACAGGUUAAAUUAAUAAUAUGUUUUUUUUUUUCGCAGCCCGGUGCAAGAUGUUGUUGAUUCAUGUACAACCGGAGCUGCAACAAAUGUUAUUUUCGGGCUUGCGUUGGGAUACAAAUCUGUUAUUACUCCAAUUUUUGCAAUAGCUAUUAGCAUUUUUGUGAGCUUUAGCCUUGCACCCAUGUACGGGAUUGCGGUUGCUGCUCUUGGAAUGCCGAGCACCAUUGCCACCGGUCUAGCUAUCCAUGCUUACGGUCCGAUCAGUGACAAUGCUGGCGGCAUUGCUGAGAUGGCGGUCAUGAGCCAUCGCAUCCAUGAGCGGACCGAUGCACUUGAUGCUGCUGGAAACACACUGCUGCUAUCGGAAAGCCUGUUAUUUGGGUUCAUAUUCCCUUUGCUUUGGUAUUAUGCAACAACCUUGUACUUCAGAAAUUAUUAUCAAAAGGAUCCAAGGGAGUGAACAGGACUCGCUGCCAGCGCAAUAACUCCUUAACAACCUGGCUAUAUUGCUCCCCCUCCACGAUGGCCCGACCUCAUUGGAAAGAUACUCCCAUCGAUAUCAAGGGCGGAUGAAAAAGGGACACUUGGGGAUUUGAAUGGCCCACAUCUCAUUGCAAUUACGGUUGACUACUUUGACCCGGGGUAGUUUUUAUCAACAAUGGAUCUCUCAAUAGAGCUAAUCGUUCUUGAUCUUAAGGACAAAAUAGAAGCAUCUAUUGUUAUUUGGAAAAGAAAGAUGAAUCAAAAGGGCUCAGAAAUCUGCUUGGAGUUCAUCUAUUAUAACUUAGGAGAAAAAGAUAGCCUAUUGAAGAUAGAGCGCAAAGAGGAAACUGUUUUACUUCUCUUGAAACAACACUUUCCGUGACUUCCUCAAUGUCACUAGAGAUUAGCGAAAUUGAGUACAAUAAACUGUUCAAAUGAAACAUGAUUUUAUAUUUUGUAAUCUUUUUCUUGAUAAAUAGCAAAGUAAUUUGCUUAUGAUAUA